UACGUAGGGGGCGAGCGUUGUCCGAAGUUACUGGGCGUAAAGCGCGCGUAGGCGGGCCGUUAAGUGGGAGGUGAAAGGCUGGGGCUCAACCCCAGCAGUGCCUCCCAUACUGGCGGUCUUGAGGGCGGUAGGGAGAAGUGGAAUGGCUGGUGUAGCGGUGAAAUGCGUAGAUAUCAGUCGGAACACCGGUGGCGAAGGCGGCUUCUUGGGCCGUUCCUGACGCUGAGGCGCGAAAGCUGGGGGGAGCGAACGGGG
rnacentral:rRNA from 1 species